rnacentral:rRNA from 1 species
AGGGUUCAAUUCUGGCUCAGGAUGAACGCUAGCUACAGGCUUAACACAUGCAAGUCGAGGGGCAGCAUGAACUUAGCUUGCUAAGUUGAUGGCGACCGGCGCACGGGUGAGUAACGCGUAUCCAACCUGGCCCUUAGUAGGGGAUAGCCCGGCGAAAGUCGGAUUAAUACCCUAUGUUUUCCUUUGAUGGCAUCCGAUGAGGAACAAAGAUUCAUCGCUAAGGGAUGGGGAUGCGUCCGAUUAGGUUGACGGCGGGGUGACGGCCCACCGUGCCCGCGAUCGGUAGGGGUUCUGAGAGGAAGGUCCCCCACAUUGGAACUGAGACACGGUCCAAACUCCUACGGGAGGCAGCAGUGAGGAAUAUUGGUCAAUGGAGGCAACUCUGAACCAGCCAAGUAGCCGUGAGGGAUGACGGCCCUACGGGUUGUAAACCUCUUUUGCAGGGGAAUAAAGUGCGCCACGUGUGGUGUUUUGUAUGUACCCUGAGAAUAAGGACCGGCUAAUUCCGUGCCAGCCGCUGC